AUACCUUCCAUAUGUGCCCCAGGCAAGUAUACAUCAUCCCUUCUCUCACUUGUUCAGCAGUUAUUUAUUGAAUACUUUAUGCCAGGCACUGUUCUAGGAGCUUGGGAUACAUGGAUGAACAAGGCAGACAAGUAUCCCCAUCCGUAUGGAGUUUACAUUCCAGGGGCAGGAGACAGGUCAGUAAAUUAUACUUUUGUUAGAGAGUGGUAAGUGCUAUGGAGGAAAGGAAAGUUGUUUCUGGAGAUGCAGGGUUGGGGGCAGGUUGUAGUCUUUGAUAGGGUGUUGGGAUGGGCCUCAUUGACAAGGUGAGAUUUGAGCAUAGGCCUGAAGGAGGGGAGGAAGUUCACCAAGCCCACAACCGGGCAGAAAUCACAGCCAGAGCAGAGGUCCCAUGGUGGGAAUGUGUCCGGCCUGGUUGACGAACCACAAGGAGGCCAGCAUUGCUGGGGUGGAGCGACUGAGAGGAAAAGGGAGAGGGAGGGACAGACGGGAGGUCACGAGGUGUGCAGCCAGAUCCUGCAGCCACCCACUGGACUUUGGCUUUAUGCCGAGUGAAGCCGGGAGCCGUGGGAAGGCUCUGAGCAGAGGAGUCGCCUCCUGACUCUUGCUGUGAAAGGGUGGCUAGGGCUGCUGCGUGGGGGAUCUGUACAAGAUGGGCAGAUCAUCCCCGUGCCUCAUGGGCUGCUGUGAAGGUCACGGGGGGACACUGGACAAGGAAAUGCUUAGAAACAAAAGGCCCUGACUGUGGUUACAGGGCUUCCAGGAGAGAGAGCUGAGUGGCUCUGCUCACAACCGUCUUAUUGAAGGGUCAGUGGAGCUCAGGAGAGGGUUAUAAUUUGCCCAGGGUCAUAUGUUCUACAACCAAUUCAAGAUCGGGGACUUCCCACUCUUCUCCCAGGGCAAAUACCAUCUGGCAGGUGGCUAAGUAGUGCAGCCUUUGGACCUGUGAUGGCUGUAGUGCGGCUGACGGGGACUGAGUCCUCCCUUGAAAAUCCAUUCACUCCACAAAUAUUUGUUAAGUGCCGGUUAUGGGCCAGGCACUGAUCUGGACUAGAAGCUGGGACCUAGAGAUAUUGGGAGACACCUGGCAAGGGCUAAGUCCUGGUCUCUGGUGGGGCUGGUUUCUGGUGGGGCUGGUCUCUGGUGGGGUUGGUCUGUCUCUGGUGGGUUUGGUCUGUCUCUGGUGGGGUUGGUCUCGUCUGGUGGGGUUUGGUCUCUGGUGGGGCUGGUCUCUGGUGUGGUUGGUCUCUGGUGGGGUUGGUCUGUCUCUGGUGGGGUUGGUCUGUCUCUGGUGGGGUUGGUCUCUGGUGGGGUUUGGUCUCUGGUGGGGUUGGUCUGUCUCGGGGCUGGUCUCUGGUGGGGUUGGGCUCUGGUGGGGUUGGGCUCUGCUGGCGCUGGUCUCUGGUGCGGUUGGUCUGUCUCUAGUGCGGUUGGUCUGUCUUUGGUGGGGGCUGGUCUCUGGUGGGGUUGGUCUGUCUCUGGUGGGGUUGGUCUCUGGUGGGGUUUGGUCUCUGGUGGGGCUGGUCUCUGGUGGGGUUGGUCUCUGGUGGGGUUGAUCUCUGGAGGAGUUGGUCUCUGGUGGGGCUCAGUCGGUCUGUGCAGGAGUCAAGUGUUAGAGGCCACACUACUGAAGGCUGGUGUUGGACUUAGGGUCAAGAGUCCAUCUGGGGCUGGGGUCAGGUCACAGCUGGAGUCAGGCAGCCCAGUCAAGAGGCUGUGGAAAGUCAAGCUGGAGAGGCAAGGCCUGCUGGGGGCUGUGGAGGUCAGGAGAAGGCCACACACCACGGGCCAGACUGUGUAUGGUAGGGGUGGGACCAAGGUGCCACUGAGCUUUUACGUUUAGGUGGCAAAGAAGAUGAUGUCAUUCAUAAAAGCAGGAAGGCAUUAGUUCAUUUGAGGAACAGAAAGAGUGCAGUGCAUCUGAUGAGCGGGGAGAGGCGUUUCAGAUGAAGAGACAGGCUGGGACCAGGUCAUGUAGCCUGGUAGUCUCUUGGGGAAUUAUUCCAAGAACAAUGGGAAGCCCUCAGAGGGCCAGGCAGGAGGUUCUGGGUCUGGUUUGUCUUUGAAAAUUAUGCGUAGCACACAGAUUUAAGGGGGCCGGAGGCCAGGCAUGGUGGCUCACGCCUGUAAUCCCAGCACUUUGGGAGGCGGAGGAGGGCAGAUCAUGAGGUCGGGAGUUCGAGACCAGCCUGGCCAACAUGGUGAAACCCCAUCUCUACUAAAAAUACAAAAAUUAGCCCGGCAUGGUGGUGCACAUCUGUAAUCCCAGCUACUUGGGAGGCUGACGCAGGAGAAUUGCUUGAACCCAUGAGGCGGAGGUUGCGGUGAGCAGAGACCACGCCAUUGCACUCCAGGCUGGGUGACAAGAGCAAGACUCCCUCUCAAAAAAAAAAAGCAGGGAGGGUGGCUGGGGGGCAGGAAUGGGACCAGGAGACCAGUGACGGGCCAAAGUAGUUUAGAGAUGGUGGUGACUUUGAGUGGUGGUGGAGAAGAAGAAGGGGGCAGAUUCCAUAGCUGUCUUGAAGGCAGAAGUGUCAGGAUUUGCCGUGGGAGGAAGGGAGAAGGAGGUGAAGGUAGUGCCCAGGCUUGGGGCUGCGCAAGGCAUGGUGCUGGCCUCCACUGAGAUGGGGAGAUGGAGAACACCUUCUGGAGUAGGUAGAAACCAGUUUUGUUCUGGCUGUCUUCUGCUGUGGCACUCAUCUGUAGCCACCAAGUAGGUGGCUGAGGAUGCACACUGAAACUUCCUAAAGAGAGAAACGAACAUGUACCUUUGUGGGUUAUCAACGUGCCCCCAUACUUAAGAGUGUGGGGCCGGGCGUGGUGGCUCACGCCUGUAAUCCCAGCACUUUGGGAGGCCGUGGCGGGUGGAUCACGAGGUCAGGAGAUGGAGACCAUCCUGGCUAACAUGGUGAAACCCCGUCUUUACUAAAAAAUACAAAAAAUUAGCCAGGCAUGGCGGCACGAGCCUGUAGUCCCAGCUAGUCGGGAGGCUGAGGCAGGAGAAUGGCGUGAACCCGGGAGGCGGAGCUUACAGUGAGCCGAGAUCGCACCACUGCACUCCAGCCUGGGCAACAGAGCCAGACUCCGUCUCAAAAAAAAAAAAAAAAAAAAAAAGAGUGUGGAUGGAGGAGCAGCUCUGAUCAGUGAGGAGGAGGGGCAGGGAGGUGGAAGGAAACCUGGGAGAGGGGCCACCAUAGUCCCAGGAAAGACUUGAAGGACGGUGUGGUCAGCUGUGUCGGAUACCGCUGAGAGGACCAGUCAGACAAGCGCAGAGGAAAGCCCGGUGGACUUGGGCACGUGAGGUCGCCGGCGAAGCUGACAAGAGCAGGCUUGUGAACUGCUUGAGGAUGGGUGGAGCAGCACUGGGAGCAGCGGCAGGAGGUGAGGCAGUGGCUGGACAAGAUGCAGCCCCGGGUGCGAGCAUGCUUGUCCGCAGAGGGAGUGACUCCGUGGGGAGGGAGAGCCAAUGAUGCUGACGAGGGGAGGCAGCAAAGGAGGGGUCCAGGCCGGGUACGGUGGCUCAUGCUUGUAAUGCCAGCACUAUGGGAGGCCGAGGCAGGAGAAUCACUGGAGCCCAGGAGUUCGAGACCAGCCUAGGUAACAUAGGGAAACCCUGUGUCAAUCAGUCAAUCAGUGAGUGGUCCUGCACAGCCCAGGCUCUCUGAUUAAUGCUGCCACCACAGUUCCCAUCCGCUGGGUUUGAAGGGAAAGUGAAACUUCCAAAUCCCACAAAGGCCCUGGCUCCUGAGCCUCACCUCUUUGAUUGAGUGUAAAUUAUUCCCACUUGGCUUCUCAUUUUAUUGUCACAACAAGCCCUGUGAGUUUCAGGGGAUUAAAUGAGCUGCAUAAGCACCAGCUGAGUGCUAGUAAGUGGCAAAGCCACGAUUUGAAGCCAGGUCUGAGCUGUCUCCAGAGCACUUCCUCUCAAUCCCCAUGUCAUACUGCUUCCCGCAGGCUUCUUACUUCGAGCAGUCUUAGGAUCAGGUCACCUGCAAUCUCUGUUCCCAAGGGGAUGGAUUAGGCAGGCAGAUGGGAUUCCUUCCCAAUCAUUGUUUCUUAUGGGCAAUUCCUACCUCUAGUACUUUCGAGACAAACUUAAUAUCAGUCCUCCAGGCUUCCUUCCUACCCAGGAAUGAUGCUUUUUGAGCGUUUCCUCACAUGCCUGACGGUCUACUUACAUGCCGCCAGAGACAGAAAGCUCACUAUCUCCAUGAGUAACCCAUUCUAGGCAGUAGGCUUUGCAUGACAGCUUAGAGUCUAUGCUCUUAAGUUGCUUUGGCUGAAUCUCAGUUCUGCUGCCUACUAGCAUCCUGUGCUUCAGUUUCCUCACCUGUAAAAUGGUAAUAACAGCCUGGCACAGUGGUCCAUCCCUC
rnacentral:lncRNA from 1 species